rnacentral:rRNA from 1 species
UACGUAGGGUGCAAGCGUUGUCCGGAAUUACUGGGCGUAAAGUGUGCGCAGGUGGCCGCGCAAGUCGAGUGUGAAAUCCCCGAGCUUAACUUGGGAAUUGCGCUCGAAACUACGUGGCUCGAGUGUGGCAGAGGAAGGUGGAAUUCCACGUGUAGCGGUGAAAUGCGUAGAGAUGUGGAGGAACACCGAUGGCGAAGGCAGCCUUCUGGGCCAACACUGACGCUCAUGCACGAAAGCGUGGGGAGCAAACAGG